rnacentral:rRNA from 1 species
AGAGUUUGAUCAUGGCUCAGAAUGAACGCUGGCGGCGUGCUUUACACAUGCAAGUCGAGCGAGGCGUGUAGCAAUACACAGUCGAGCGGCGAACGGGUGAGUAACACGUGGAUUAUCUACCCUAAGGUGGGGAACAACCCGGGGAAACUCGGGCUGAUACCGCAUGAUACCGAAAGGUCAAAGGGGGCUCGCAAGGGCUUCCGCCAUAGGAGGAGUCUGCGUCCGAUUAGCUAGUUGGUAGGGUAAUGGCCUACCAAGGCGACGAUCGGUAGCCGGCCUGAGAGGGUGAUCGGCCACACUGGAACUGAGACACGGUCCAGACUCCUACGGGAGGCAGCAGUGGGGAAUUUUGCGCAAUGGGCUAACGCCUGACGCAGCAACGCCGCGUGGAGGAUGAAGGUCCUUGGAUUGUAAACUCCUGUCAGCAGGGAAAAAGCAACUCGGUCUAAUACACCGGGGAGUUGAUUGUACCUGCAGAGGAAGCCCCGGCUAACUCUGUGCCAGCAGCCGCGGUAAUAC